rnacentral:lncRNA from 1 species
AGAGAAUAAUUUCUGCAAUUCCGCGUAGAAGAUAUCUGGUUAGCAGAAAGAAAAAAAAUAGUUCAAUGAUGUGGGAUAUUUCAAUAGGUAAGCAUAACAAUUAUUGUUCCCACUUUUUUUAUAUGGCAAUUGAGAAAGUUUUGUUUAAGUGCAUUUGUCGUGUUUUAUGUGGAAAUAAAACGUUAUUUUUUUCUUUUCAGAAGUUGCAUAUUUUUCACUUUUGUAAAGUACUUUUUGAAACAUUAUUUUCAGCCAUAGAAUCAUGUUUUGUUAUAAAAUGAAAAACAUACUGUCCCGGUUCAUGUUUGGAUUUUCAACUAUAUAUAAGUAAUGAUCAAUAUUCUUUCCCUAAUUUAUGUUAAAGUCCUGAUUGGUUUCUUGCAAUAGUUUUGUUGUUUUAAUUAAGUUAUCACAUGUGAAUGAUGUUAUAACCCAUGUGAUACCAAUAGAUGUAUCUU